rnacentral:rRNA from 1 species
UACGUAGGGACCGAGCGUUGUCCGGAAUCAUUGGGCGUAAAGAGCGUGUAGGCGGCCAGGUAGGUCUGCUGUGAAAACUCGAGGCUUAACCUCGAGCUGUCGGCGGAAACCAUCUGGCUAGAGUCCGGAAGAGGAGAAUGGAAUUCCCGGUGUAGCGGUGAAAUGCGCAGAUAUCGGGAAGAACACCCGUGGCGAAGGCGGUUCUCUGGGACGGUACUGACGCUGGGACGCGAAAGCGUGGGGAGCGAACAGG